rnacentral:rRNA from 1 species
GACGAACGCUGGCGGCGUGCUUAACACAUGCAAGUCGAACGGAAAGGCCCUGCUUUUGUGGGGUGCUCGAGUGGCGAACGGGUGAGUAACACGUGAGUAACCUGUCCUUGACUUUGGGAUAACUUCAGGAAACUGGGGCUAAUACCCGAUAGGAGCUCCUGCUGCAUGGUGGGGGUUGGUAAGUUUCGGCGGUUGGGGAUGGACUCGCGGCUUAUCAGCUUGUUGGUGGGGUAGUGGCUUACCAAGGUUUUGACGGGUAGCCGGCCUGAGAGGGUGAACGGCGACAUGGGGACUGAGAGACGGCCCAGACUCCUACGGGAGGCAGCAGUGGGGAAUAUUGCACAAUGGGCGGAAGCCUGAUGCAGCAACGCCGCGUGCGGGAUGACGGCCUACGGGUUGUAAACCGAUUUCGCAUGUGACGAAGCGUUAGUGACGGUAAUGGGUAAAGAAGCACCGGCUAACUACGUG